GCCCGGGUCCUGCGCAACCACGACCCCGUGAAUCCCGUCAGGUCCGGAAGGAAGCAGCGGUAAACGGGUGCCGGGUGUGCCGCAGGGAAACNNUGGUCU
rnacentral:SRP_RNA from 1 species